CAUGGUGAAGGUGUCAGGAUAACGGUGUCAGGAUGAAGGUGUCAGGAGGAAGGUGACAGGAUGAAGGUGGCAGGAUGAAGGUGACAGGAGGAAGGUGACAGGAGGAAGGUGGCAGGAUGAAGGUGGCAGGAUGAAGGUGACAUGAUGAAGGUGACAUGGUGGAGGUACCUGACGUUGCAGUGAGCUGCUGUCACAACCCAGUUCUCAUUGAU